rnacentral:rRNA from 1 species
GUCUAUAGCCAUAUCACCCUGAAUGUGCCCAGUCUCAUCUAUCUCGGAAGCUAUGCAGGGUUGGGUCUGGUUAGUACUGGUGGGGCGGGGGUAGAACCCAAGCUUGCAGGCC